rnacentral:rRNA from 1 species
CAAUAGCGUAUAUUAAAGUUGUUGCAGUUAAAAAGCUCGUAGUUGGAUUUCUGGUGGGAGCGAUCGGUCUGGCGCUUAGCGCGAGUACUUGCAUCGUCUCCGGCCAUCCUUGGGGAGAGUCUGUCUGGCAUUAAGUUGUCGGGCAGAGGAUCCUCAUCGUUUACUGUGAAAAAAUUAGAGUGUUCAAAGCAGGCUUAUGCCGUUGAAUAUAUUAGCCUGGAAUAAUAAGAUAGGACUUUGGUACUAUUUUGUUGGUUUGCGCACCAAAGUAAUGAUUAAUAGGGACAGUUGGGGGUAUUCGUAUUCCGUUGUCAGAGGUGAAAUUCUUGGAUUUACGGAAGACGAACUACUGCGAAAGCAUUUACCAAGGAUGUUUUCAUUAA